ensembl:lncRNA
GCUGACUCUGGGCCGGAUCCGCCUCCAAACCGGCAGACCCGUGUAACAGUCACGCCUGUUUUACUGUCCCGUUCCAGAUACGGCCCGCAUGUAGUCUGUGUAAUCAAGAGUAGGCAUCAGUCGGCGGAAUCAUAAUAGUUCUGGCCCGGACUCGUCGGAACGAGCGCGCAAAUAGUUUUUUUUUUUUUUUAACCGGUUCAUACCAGAAUCGUAGUUGUUCUGGCCCAGGGCAUUCGGAACGAGCGCGCGAACUGUUGGUCUUUCUUUGGAUCAAUUCGGACUGCAAGCUUUGUGGAAAGAGUUUAUAACGGUUUUCGAUGGCUAAUUGACUGUUGGUCUUUCUUUGGAACAAUUCGGACUGCAAGCGUUGUGGAAGAGUUUAACGCGGCUGAGCUGCACAUUCUAACUUUGCUGGAACAUAUCAAGGAGCAGCAAAUGCAGCUGGCGGCUGCUGUAAAUAACAUUGCUAGAAUGGGGACGGAAACUCCUAUGGCUGAGAUGCCUCAAAAUGUCAGUGUUCCGCUGGCCACCAUGUCUGAAGUGGAGGAGUUGGAGGAGUGGCUUAAAGAUGCAAGAAACUUGCAUGCUAAGCAAAACAUGAUUUCGGCUCUACCCGGAUAGCAAUGAGUCGGCGGACCGGAGGCGGUCCUCCAGAGACAGUAGAAGCGUCAGAAUGUCUAAAUCGCAAACACGUUUGCCAGCUUACCGCCGGCGGCAGACGCUUUUUAAAAGCGGCAGCCGCCCUCCUACCGCCUGUGUUCUGCGGCCGGCCCGUGGUCCAACCGCCUUUCCACCGCCGUUAUACAAAAGGCGGACCUUCCGCGGUUUUCG